rnacentral:rRNA from 1 species
UACGUAGGUGGCAAGCGUUGUCCGGAUUUAUUGGGUUUAAAGGGUGCGUAGGCGGUUUUGUAAGUCAGUGGUGAAAUCCGGCAGCUUAACUGUCGAUGUGCCAUUGAUACUGCAGAACUUGAGUACAGACGAGGUAGGCGGAAUUGACGGUGUAGCGGUGAAAUGCUUAGAUAUCGUCAAGAACACCGAUAGCGAAGGCAGCUUACUAGACUGUAACUGACGCUGAUGCACGAAAGUGUGGGGAUCAAAC